rnacentral:misc_RNA from 1 species
CAAAAAUAUCAAAAAUGCCCCUCGGGUGUUUUGGCAGGACGGGGGGCAAACCCCUGACUGUUUAACCCUUUGUGAAAACCCUCUGUUGCCUCGGCGGCACUCCCGACCGCGCGGCUUAACGCUGCGCGGAAAGGAUGGUCAGUCCGCCGGCGGCACCCAUCGAAAACCCAUAACCAAUUUUGAAGAAGCCGUCUGAAAAUUAAAAGUCGAAUGACUAUA